rnacentral:rRNA from 1 species
GAUGAACGCUGGCGGCGUGCCUAACACAUGCAAGUCGAGCGAAGCGGGGAUGGGUGAGUCAUAUGUGGAUAACUUCCUUUAAGACUGGGCUAAUUUCGGGAAACCGGAGCUAAACCGGACUCUUAUAGAUGGAUUCGCGCUGCAUUAGCUAGUUGGUAAGGUAACGGCUUACCAAGGCAACGAUGCAUAGCCGACCUGAGAGGGUGAUCGGCCACACUGGAACUAGGACACGGUCCAGACUCCUACGGGAGGCAGCAGUAGGGAAUCUUGCGCAAUGGGCGAAGGCCUGACGAAGCAACGCCGCGUGAGUGAUGAAGGUCUUCGGAGCGUAAAGCUCUGUAAUUAGGGAGGCGUUACCUAAUCAGGAAGCCACGGCUGACUACGUGCCAGCAGCCGCGGUGGUUC